AUGGUUGCAGCACCGUUAUUUGAUGAAUGUCGCAGUUAUCUCGAAGACUUCGGGAGGUUUACUAUUGAGCAUUGUUUUAGAGAGUCAAAUAAUGUAGCUCAUGAGUUAGCGAGAUGGGGUCGUGCAAAUAGCCCAUCUCGCUGGGUUGACGCCCAUCCUGAUUUCAUUGUAAACCUUCUGGCAGACGAUGUGUCUAUCCUUUGA
rnacentral:rRNA from 1 species